GCGCACUGUGGCUCGUAUGUUUAUUAUUUACGGUCACAAUAGUGGUCAACCUUAAGCUUUCCAAGUACCUGAUGCGAAUGGACGACUACAUGUACGAGGGCGUUGAGGUCGAAGAAUCCAUCGCCACUCCGCCGGACGACAAGACGUCGGGCACGAGCAUCAGCUUCGCGCCCAGCGCUGCUGGCAAUCUGCCCACUGGUCCGUAUAAGUGGAGG
rnacentral:lncRNA from 1 species